GAUGAACGCUGGCGGCGUGCCUAAUACAUGCAAGUCGAGCGAACAGACGAGGAUCUUGCUCCUCUGACGUUACCGGCGGACGGGUGAGUAACACGUGGAUAACCUACCUCUACGACUGGGACAACUUCGGGAAACCGGAGUUCAUACCGGAAACCAUAUUGAACCUGAUGGUUCAAUAGUUAAAUCGGGUUUUGCUGUGAUUUCUACCUGGCACCGCGUCGGAUUGGUUAGUUGGUAAGGUAACAGCUUACCAAGGCAACGAUGCGUAGCCGACCUGCGAGGGUGAACGGCCACACUGGAACUGAGACACGGUCCAGACUCCGACGGGAGGCAGCAGUAGGGAAUCUACCGCAAUGGGCGAAAGCCUGACGGAGCAGCGCCACGUGAGUGAAGAGGGUCUUCGGAGCGGAAAACUCUGUUAUGAUUGAAGAACAAAUGUGUAAGUAACUAUGCACGUCUUGACGGUACCUAAUCAGAAAGCCACGGCUAACUACGUG
rnacentral:rRNA from 1 species